UUAAGCGACUAAGCGUACACGGUGGAUGCCCUGGCAGUCAGAGGCGAUGAAGGACGUGCUAAUCUGCGAUAAGCGCCGGUAAGGUGAUAUGAACCGUUAUAACCGGCGAUUUCCGAAUGGGGAAACCCAGUGUGAUUCGUCACACUAUCAUUAACUGAAUCCAUAGGUUAAUGAGGCGAACCGGGGGAACUGAAACAUCUAAGUACCCCGAGGAAAAGAAAUCAACCGAGAUUCCCCCAGUAGCGGCGAGCGAACGGGGAGGAGCCCAGAGCCUGAAUCAGCAUGUGUGUUAGUGGAAGCGUCUGGAAAGGCGCGCGAUACAGGGUGACAGCCCCGUACACAAAAGCGCAUGUGCUGUGAGCUCGAUGAGUAGGGCGGGACACGUGGUAUCCUGUCUGAAUAUGGGGGGACCAUCCUCCAAGGCUAAAUACUCCUGACUGACCGAUAGUGAACCAGUACCGUGAGGGAAAGGCGAAAAGAACCCCGGCGAGGGGAGUGAAAAAGAACCUGAAACCGUGUACGUACAAGCAGUGGGAGCACAGGUUUACCUGUGUGACUGCGUACCUUUUGUAUAAUGGGUCAGCGACUUAUAUUCUGUAGCA
rnacentral:rRNA from 1 species